rnacentral:lncRNA from 1 species
GUCUAACAGGGGUAUGAAGACGCUCAUGUGAGAACUUCUCCAUAGCGUUUAUGUAUACACUCAAGUACCCGGUACUUGAUCGUAGCUCGGCGUAGUAGCACGUACAUGGUACAUGGAACAUUGCAUGCAGACAGAUUCGUCACGGAAAAGAAGCGAGGCGAGUUACGCCACCGAUCUAUGGUUAUAGUAAGUUGCAUGUUUUUUGUCACGUACAUUAGUCACUUAUUGUAGGUAGCUAGCUACGUACGUACAUGUAUUUAGUCAAUUGAUCUGGGCCAGCCUCACUUUUUUUUCGUUCUUAUUGUGCGUUGUGCAUAAUCAGCGUCUCGCUUGACAUGAACCGAUCGAGUUUGCGCCUCAAACUAGCACGAGUGAUUAGAUCAUUAUCGUCACAUCUGUCACGUCACAACCUUAGUACGUACUUGAAGCACACUCAUCAAAAAGCGUUCUUUGUCACAUGUCAUCACAAAUUACUGGCCAAUCAGGGGCAAUUAUCGUCUGAAAAUGCGGUUAGCCUGAACCCGUCGGCCCGUCACGAUCGACUGGUUCGGGAGGGCGGGAAUACGGGAAGACAAAAUCCUUCUUUUUACUACAUGCCUUCCCUUGGUACAAGCUGCCUACAGGGGACAUAAUAUACAGUACCAAGAUCUUAGUGAUGCGUGGGUUUGAAGAGCAGGCUAUAAAUUGUCCAAUGAGCUGGACUUGUUCGAAUAACGGAUCCUCCAAUUUCCUCUAUUCGUCACUCGGUCUCCCCGAGUCUCCACCAGAGAUCAUUUCAUUUUGCAACGGCCCCUCCAAUGAAGAUACCAAGCGUCAAGUGAGUGAUGCCUAUUUGCAUGGGGAAGGCGAAUGUAACAACGACCUUAGUGUUAUGCAAAGCGGCCCGUCCAACUGCGCAUGCAUGAAAAAAAAAAAUUUAGCUAAAUUAUCGCUACCCAAGAAUAACAGAAAAAAAGACCAUUGAAACUACUACUACCUCGCUAGAAUAAGCGCCUUCCGUGGUGAUUCGGAUCAGGUACCACUUGACAUCAGUAAGCUACGUAGCAGGUACGUUUGAUGGAGCUUCUAGGCCUGUUGCACAGAAUGUCAUAGUCUCCCCGCAAUACUCCGAAACCUUGUUUGAUUUUUUUUCGUCUCUUUUUUCGGAUGAUGGCUGUGGAAUAUCAUGUCAGAUUCAAUUUCAGUAGGUCCAUGAUACAUCAGUCAUAAAAAAAGCCCAGAAAGGUAAGAAUUGAAGGUCGAUUGCAUAUCAUAUCCUGUCAUUCAGAAGAGAAAUAAAAGAAAAAAGAGAAAGAAAGAAACUCCUGAUCCAUAUUCCCAAAAUUGCAUUCCUUCGAUUUCCCAUUGCGCAUAGAGAACGAAAAUAAUCAUAUCGUAACUUCGUGCUGAAAAUCAUUGCCCCAGUUGUUGUUUUGUGCAUGUGUGUAUAAUGUGGAGAGCCGGAAGGAGAAAAACAAAAGAAAUUGUACAGAGGAAAAAAAACGGCCUCGGAAAAUAUGAGUAUGGAGAUCGGCCAUCGCCGAGCCAUGGACAAUACCAGGCGCUCGUUGUCGUCAAGGAAAUAAAACAGAAAUAGAGGGAGGAGAUGUUGGCGGAAAGGUCGUGCGUUCGACGCAUACUUUUUCGCAUCCCGAGUUGAGUAUUCAGCACAUGCUUGCAUCCAAGUUGUAUUCCAAAACAAAAGUAUCAGUACAAGUCAUCUUCAUAAGCGUAGCGUCAAGACAAUUCCGAACAGAUUCCCCCGCUCUGCAAGGGAAUCAUGCGUUGUGUUUAUCGUUCGCAUCAGAUCGCUCUUAAAAUUGACCCGAGUAAUUUGUCUGGGGGACGAAGGGUUGAGGAUCCAACUUCCUGAUUGCGACCUCGGCAGCAUCCUCUUUGGCGUUGUUGAGGUAUUGACCGUCGUACCAGUAUCGAGCGGCGAAACUCCCGCCUCCUACGUUGACGGUUGCUGACCAAGCGGUUCUACCUCCUGGAGAGAAAAGAAAGAGAAACAGAGUUAACGACGUAUCGAGCAUAGAAGAUAGAAAGGAAGAAAGAAAGGAAGGAAGAUCGUACCACGUCGAUCUGACACGAUAUGGAACUCGGGAGCUGCCAAUCCGUUUUUCGAGCAGUGGUCUAGAUGAAGAGUUAAUGUUAAUAAGGUGGAACCAUCGAAGAAAAAAGAUGAGUUCAAGUAAAUCAAUGCGAACCCCCUAGCAUCUUUUGCCAAUUAGGCAUUGCUCCCUGGCCGCCAGCAGUCGAAGUAGACAUAGUAAUGAGAUCGGAUUCUCUUGAUUCGAUAUAGGGAUGUAAAAAUGGAAAGUGACUUGGGAAAAGAGGAGAGCGAGGCGAUGUUCCCUUCCCAGCAAGUGUGAUCUGAUUGGUACCAAGAUUGACCCUUUGUUGUAAAUGACGGGAAGGUGGUCAACACACUUUCAAAUGGCAAGACACGACUAGAUACAAAUACAAUAAAAAGUCGUGUUGUCGGAGCGGGAUAGACAGCACAGCAAGACGGCAACUUAUAGGUAGUGGAUUCCCCUUGAGGAAGGCUUGGUUCUAGUCAAAGUAGGAGGAAGAGGAGAGAGAAUAAAAAUAUAUAUCCUACACAAAUGAGUGACAGGAGGGGAAGGUCAUAUUAAAUGCCAUUGGCAUGUCACCAGAAGAGAAUUGGAGGAGGAGGAUGGAUGUAUGUAUUGAAUGGUUUGCAGAUGGAUAACAUCGGACAUUUGCCCCUCUUCAUGUACAAGUUCGGCGGAGAGAGAGGGACCAAUAUGCAUGAAUAAGAGCAGGAUCUGUAUGUGUGGAUGAAGCCAAGUAGCCUCCCAUUUAAAAAAAAAAAAGGGCAACAAUAGAGAAAUUAGGCGUGUGAGUGUGUGAGGAAAGAAAUAAAAUAUUGAAAAACAUGUGUGAAGUGACAAGCCAGAAAAUGAAAUGCCCCUCCAGAUGUUGUUGUCAUCCACUCGGUUAGUGGCUAGGGUUGCUUUGCUUUUGCAGCACAUCAAAAUAAUCAAUAAAAAUCAAUAAAAUAAAUAAAUCAAAAACGAGGAACAUGCGGAUCAUAGGAAAAGAGGCUGCAGGCAGGGGACGGCCCGUCGCACAUUAGGUACCUAGGCAAAUUGCCUGACCAUUUAUAGACAGACGUUUAAUACAUCCUUAGGCCUUGAAGCGGCCGACUCUUACGAUUAUGCACAAGCCUGGGGCCGUGAUCGAUCGGUAGGGAUGUUAAGCUGUAGGGGUAAGAAGGGUCUUCAUUAGGGAGGGAAACAAUUAAGGCAAGUAAAGAAAAUGAAAAAGCAAAUACAUAUGAUGAUGAUGAUGAUGAUGUCUACUCUACAGAGGAGAGGAACCCAUGGAUGAGGGGCAUGAAUUGGUUGGCCGAGAAGAAGGGAGACAAGAGGAGUGGAGGAGAAAGAAUAGAGGGUCCAAUUAGCCUACAGACAUGUUUGGUUUAUUUCCAGCGAUAGCUGUCAAGCCAGUGAACGUGGUUCUAGCAAACUGGUUAUCGGAUUUGACAUGCAGAUAGAAGUGGAUAGGGAAUCUUGAAGAGAAGGGGAAAGGUUGGAAAAAAUGGGGCAAGAAACAGACGAACAUCACGCGAAAGCCUAAAGGCGGAGUAUUUCCCGGGACCUGCUGACGAAUCAUUUUAUAAAUAACGCGAAGGAAUUUAUCAUUUGAUGGGCACAUAAAAAUCAACUUGAACUUGAUAGGAAGGAACUUGACCUGGACCCGUCCUGACUUGACGCCUUGUUGCACACUCCCCUGUCCAGCCAGUUGGGCUCCGCGGUAUGUAUACCUAGGUAAGUAAUAACCUACAUAGGCAACUUGGCCGGACAAUACGAUAGGGCACAGAAUGAAACAAUGAAUGAAUAGAGCCAUGGUUAUUGAUGAUGAAUUGUUGUGGCCAACGUGUAGGUCAUCCACGCUGGCCCAGACAAUCGCCGGAGAACCAAAGCGGCCAUUACCCAAUUUGCAAUUUUCAAUGGAAGAAAAUCAACAACGGCACAUACUAGACAUGUAUUCAUUCAUCCCAUGUGUGUACACAGUACAAACAUAUACCUACCUCCUUCACUAACCACACACAAAAAUACUUCCAUGGGUAUGUACCAUACCUGACAAUAGACAUGGGGCAUUUAUGCAGAAAAGAAAAUCCAACGUCGGGCAAGGGGGGAAAGGGGGGGGGGGGGGCCAACAGCCCUUUUCUCUUUUAAAAGAAGAUUAAAAAAUCGCUGAUUGGCUGCUUUACUUUUAUUUAUUCUAUUUUUUCAAUCCUGUCAGAGUCUGCCCUUGCGCACACUUUGUUGGCGGCUAUUCGAUGUAGCACCACUAUCCGCACUAUGUUGGCACCAUUUUGGGCAUUCAUACCUGCAGAUAUUCGGUCUAUUGAUAGGAAUGACAUUUUCUUGUGGGGGAUUUUUUUUCUUUCUUUCGUCGACUAGCUUCUCAAUAAACAUAUAUGUAUAUGUAAGGCGGAAAUAGUGAGAUUUACCGCAUCAUUAUGUAGCAUUCUUCUCUGCGUUGGUUUUCUCUAUGUUUGAACCAAGAGUGAAAGCAAGCAAGAAGGGCCAAAAAAUUGCCUAAAUCGGAACCUGCCUUUUUCGGGGGGGGUUUGCCUCUUUUCGCCUAAGCCCUAACUUUAUUUGGUCAGUACCAGAACAGAAGGGAAUUGGGGGUCUG